GACGAACGCUGGCGGCGUGCCUAAUACAUGCAAGUCGAACGCUUCUUUCCUCCCGAGUGCUUGCCCUCAAUUGGAAAGAGGAGUGGCGGACGGGUGAGUAACACGUGUGUAACCUACCCAUCAGAGGGGGAUAACACUUGGAAACAGGUGCUAAUACCGCAUAACAGUUUAUGCCGCAUGGCAUAAGAGUGAAAGGCGCUUUCGGGUGUCGCUGAUGGAUGGACCCGCGGUGCAUUAGCUAGUUGGUGAGGUAACGGCUCACCAAGGCCACGUGGCAUAGCCGACCUGAGAGGGUGAUCGGCCACACUGGGACUGAGACACGGCCCAGACUCCUACGGGAGGCAGCAGUAGGGAAUCUUCGGCAAUGGACGAAAGUCUGACCGAGCAACGCCGCGUGAGUGAAGAAGGUUUUCGGAUCGUAAAACUCUGUUGUUAGAGAAGAACAAGGACGUUAGUAACUGAACGUCCCCUGACGGUAUCUAACCAGAAAGCCACGGCUAACUACGUG
rnacentral:rRNA from 1 species